rnacentral:lncRNA from 1 species
CUAAAUAGACAUAUAAUGUUAAAUCUAUAUGAACCAUCUAUAGCACCCUAAUCCAACUUGCACCCUAACAUCAGUAAUCUUGUUUUAGAACAUGGAAAAUUAUCAUGAAAAGUGAAAACAUUGGAUGGGGAACACCUUGAAAUCUCCAGGGACAUGGUCUAACACUCUAACCUGACUUUCUUUUGAUCUUUGAGAUCUUUGUACGCAUCCAAACAGUAAUUCUUUACUCAAUCAUGCCCUGAAUGAAGCCAAAGCAUUCAUAUAAGUAACUAAGGUAAGUUCUUCUUUCAACUGCUAAUUUAAAGUCCAACUUUGCUACCUUUUCAUAUCAACCAAUGUUUAUGCAAUCAGAAAAAAGUAUCCAAAAACCCAACUCGGAUCAAAUUCCUCCCAAUCCAACAAGUUAAAACCUCAAUCCUAGCAAAAACGCAAUACACCACAUUGAACAAAAAAAUCGAACAAUCAAUUUACCUAAUUUUAUUAGCAUUACUGGUGGAUACGACGUCGAGAUAAUGAUCGACGGCUAAUAAACGGUUGUUGCUUGUAGCGUUUCUCCCAUUUACAGAUGAUUCGGAGACCAGGAGAAGUAGGUCGAGGUGUCGUCAGCGGUGACGUUUUCGUUCUCUGUGAUUCGAUGAAAAAGGCGGUCGCAAUCGAGACAACACCACCACAGAGCGGAUACCUUCAUGGGAUGU